GAUGAAGAACGCGGCGAAAUGCGAUAAGUAAUGUGAAUUGCAGAAUUCAGUGAAUCAUCGAAUCUUUGAACGCACAUUGCGCCCCUUGGUAUUCCGAGGGGCAUGCCUGUUCGAGCGUCAUUAUAACCCUCAAGCUCAGCUUGGUGUUGGGGCCUGCUGCACUGGCAGCCCUUAAAAUCAGUGGCGGCGCCAUCUGGCUCUAAGCGUAGUAAUUCUUCUCGCUAUGGAGUCCUGGUGGAUGCUUGCCAUCAACCCCCAAUUUUUCUAUGGUUGACCUCGGAUCAGGUAGGGAUACCCGCUGAACUUAAGCAUAUCAAUAGCGGAGGA
rnacentral:misc_RNA from 1 species